GAUGAACGCUGGCGGCGUGCCUAAUACAUGCAAGUCGAGCGAACAGACGAGGAGCCUGCUCCUCUGACGUUAGCGGCGGACGGGUGAGUAACACGUGGAUAACCUACCUAUAAGACUGGGAUAACUUCGGGAAACCGGAGCUAAUACCGGAUAAUAUAUUGAACCGCAUGGUUCAAUAGUGAAAGACGGUUUUGCUGUCACUUAUAGAUGGAUCCGCGCCGCAUUAGCUAGUUGGUAAGGUAACGGCUUACCAAGGCAACGAUGCGUAGCCGACCUGAGAGGGUGAUCGGCCACACUGGAACUGAGACACGGUCCAGACUCCUACGGGAGGCAGCAGUAGGGAAUCUUCCGCAAUGGGCGAAAGCUUGACGGAGCAACGCCGCGUGAGUGAUGAAGGUCUUCGGAUCGUAAAACUCUGUUAUUAGGGAAGAACAAAUGUGUAAGUAACUAUGCACGUCCUGACGGUACCUAAUCAGAAAGCCACGGCUAACUACGUG
rnacentral:rRNA from 1 species